CAAGUAGGUGGUCUUAUUUGUCUAGGGUGAAAUCCUUGAGCUUAACUCAAGAAGUGCCCUAGAAACGGUGAGACUCGAGUUCUGGAGAGGGUCGUGGAAUUCCCGGUGUAGCGGUGAAAUGCGUAGAGAUCGGGAGGAACACCAGAGGCGAAGGCGGCGACCUGGACAGACACUGACACUCAACUGCGAAAGCGUGGGGAGCAAACAGGAUUAGAUACCCUGGUAGUCCACGCUGUAAACGAUGGGAACUAGGUUUGAUGGGUCUUGACCCCCGUCGAACCGGCGCUAACGCACUAAGUUCCCCGCCUGGGAAGUACGGUCGCAAGACUAAA
rnacentral:rRNA from 1 species